GGUGAGGUGUCCGAGUGGCUGAAGGAGCACGCUUGGAAAGCGUGUAACGGGUCAAACUGUUCGAGGGUUCGAAUCCCUCUCUCACCGCCA
rnacentral:tRNA from 1 species